rnacentral:rRNA from 1 species
CCCAGAUUGUCCGAAUAGGCUAGANUGGUGAGCUCAGGCUUACCCAUGUCACGAUCCGAGNUGUCUGAGUGAUGAUAAGCCACACCUGGAGCUGANGACCACGGCCCCAUGACUUCCUUNCGGGAUGGGCAAGCAGGUGGGGGAAAUUUUGGGACCCAAUUGGGGGGGCAACCCCUGAUUCCAGCCAAUGCCGCGUGAGUGAAGAAGGNCNCUCGGGGUAGUAAAGCUCUUUCGGACCGUAAAGAAAUCGCGCAGGUAAAUAAUCUGCGUGGAUGACGGUACCGUAAGAAGAAGCACGGGCUAACUACGUGCCAGCAGCCGCGGUAAUACGUAGGGUGCGAGCGUUAAUCGGAAUUACUGGGCGUAAAGCGUGCGCAGGCGGCUUUGUAAGACAGGUGUGAAAUCCCCGGGCUUGACCUGGGGAUGGCGCUUGUGACUGCAAGGCUCGAGUGCGGCAGAGGGGGGUGGAAUUCCACGUGUAGCAGUGAAAUGCGUAGAGAUGUGGAGGAACACCGAUGGCGAAGGCAGCCCCCUGGGUCGACACUGACGCUCAUGCACGAAAGCGUGGGGAGCAAACAGGAUUAGAUACCCUGGUAGUCCACGCCCUAAACGAUGCCAACUAGUUGUUGGGGAAGGAGACUUCCUUAGUAACGAAGCUAACGCGUGAAGUUGGCCGCCUGGGGAGUACGGUCGCUAAGAUUAAAACUCAAAGGAAUUGACGGGGACCCGCACAAGUCGGUGGAUGAUGUGGAUUAAUUCGAUGCCACGCGCAAAAACCAUUACACUACCCUUGACAUGCCAGGUACUUCUGCUGAGAGGUGGAGGUGCCCGAUAAGGGAGCACUGGACACUAGGUGCUGCAUGGUCUGUCGUCAGCUCGUGUCGUGAAUGUGUC